rnacentral:rRNA from 1 species
UACGUAGGGGGCAAGCGUUGUCCGGAUUCAUUGGGCGUAAAGAGCGUGUAGGCGGCCAGAUAGGUCAGCUGUGAAAACUCGAGGCUCAACCUCGAGACGUCGGUUGAAACCAUCUGGCUAGAGUCCGGAAGAGGAGUGUGGAAUUCCCGGUGUAGCGGUGAAAUGCGCAGAUAUCGGGAAGAACACCCGUGGCGAAGGCGGCACUCUGGGACGGUACUGACGCUGAGACGCGAAAGCGUGGGGAGCGAACAGG